rnacentral:rRNA from 1 species
UGGGGAAUAUUGGACAAUGGGGCAAGGCCUGAUCCAGCCAUGCCGCGUGAGUGAUGAAGGCCCUAGGGUUGUAAAGCUCUUUUGUGCGGGAAGAUAAUGACGGUACCGCAAGAAUAAGCCCCGGCUAACUUCGUGCCAGCAGCCGCGGUAAUACGGAGGGUGCGAGCGUUGUCCGGAAUCACUGGGCGUAAAGGGCGCGUAGGCGGCUCAUUAAGUGGCUGGUGAAAUCCCCGGGGCUCAAACUCCGGGGCUGCCGGUCAGACUGGUGGGCUCGAGCACGGUAGAGGCGGAUGGAAUUCCCGGUGUAGCGGUGAAAUGCGUAGAGAUCGGGAGGAAGGCCGGUGGCGAAGGCGCGCUCUUGGAACGUAUCUGACGCUGAGACACGAAAGCGUGGGUAGCAAACA